rnacentral:tRNA from 1 species
CGCGGGGUGGAGCAGUUCGGUAGCUCGUCGGGCUCAUAACCCGAAGGUCGCAGGUUCAAAUCCUGGCCCCGCAACCA